rnacentral:lncRNA from 1 species
CUAAUGAAAAAGCAAUAUGAUCUAAAGGUUAGAAAAAAGACGCCAACUUCAAGAGAUGACAACUUUAAGGGUUGAGUUGUAUACCAAAAUAUAUAUGCUACAAAAUAUAUAGAGAAAUGAGUUAUAACCAGUUUAAUAACAUAAGAAUGCACGAACCUACCAAGAUGAAAAAUAAGCAGGAAAGAAUAAAUAGUACUGUAAAAUGUCAACAAAUACAGAAGGAAUGGUUGAGUUAAAAAUCAGGAAGAGAUGUUAAAAUCAAUGAAUAAGAAAUCAGGACGUUUUCAUAGUCUCAACUCUCUACAAACUUCUUAUUAAUCACAAAAGAAGAAACAAUUACUCUAAAGUGAAGAAAUCUGCAGAUACCACCUUAAUCAAGUGACCAAAACUUACAUCACAUUAUUUCUUAUAUCCUAUAAUGAGAAUGACACAUAACUUGUGUCAUAUUACCAUCAAAAUGCACAGUCUAAAUCUUAUCAUGAGUAAAGAUCAGACAAAGUCACAUGGAGAGACAUUCUGCAAUAGCUGCCUUCAAAAUUUCAAGGUUAAGAAAGAUAAAAUUUAAGAAAGUCUUCAAGACUGAAAAAAAAAAAAAACUAUAGAGAUAUGAUAACCAAAGCAAUGCUACAAAGCACAUUAUUAAGGCAAAGACAAAUCUGAAUAUAGACUAUAAAUUCAACAAUAGUGCAUCAAUGUUCUAAUUUCCCAAUUUUGACAACUAUAUUGUGGUUAAGGAAGAAAAUACCCUUGUUCCUAGGAAAUACACACUGAAUGAAUGUAGGGAAAAAUAGGCAUAUUUUCAAUUUAGUCCCAAAUGGCUCAGAAAAAAGUAGUGUAAUGUACAAUAGUGGUAGUAACACAUAUAUUAUAUACAUUUUAUACACAAUCUACACAUAUAAAGUAAUAUAUUACAUGGGCAAAAUAUAAACAAUUGGUGAAUUUGGGUAACAGACAGAUGGGUAUUUCCUAUCCUACUCAUUCAACUUUUAUACAAGUUUGAAAUUAUAUUAAAAUUUUGCCAAAGAAGUUUUAAAAAGUGUUGCUUUUAAGAUAAUCAGUAUAUAAUAUAUUAAAAAACAAUAGAAGGUAAAUACAAAUGAAUAAUUUUAAGAAUGAGAAAGCAGAUAUCUGCUUAGUCCAGAGAUACUAAAAUGUAAAAAGACAAUACUAGCACAACUUUACCAAUGAAUUUGAAAAUAAUUCUCUGGAAAUUAUAGAUGGGAUACUAAGUAGCAACAAAAUUUUUGCUGUUGAAGAAUACAUAUAGAUUGGAAAAAGUUCAUAAUAUAUAAACUUUCAGAUAUGGAACAGCUUUCAAAUAGACUUUACAUUACGAAGAAUAAAUAGAAAAUCAGAAUUAGAAUAAUACAUUUAUAAAACAAUCUGAUAAAAGAAAUUUUUUCUGUGUAAGUGGGCUAUGGAUAUUUUCUUUUUGGGGACUUUAUUUUGCAUUUUCCAAAUGUUAGGCAAUGUUAUGUGUUACUUUUUCAAUAGCUAUAAAAACCAUCACAAUUUUCGUAAAAUAUCUAUGAAAAUACACAUUAUAAAACAUGUGCAAUGGUUCUGGAAACUAAGGAUUAGAAUUCAUCAUAUAUCAGAAUCUUGGAAGGAUUCCUACUAAUUACAAGCAGAUGUUAAGGUUUAAACAAAUCUAAUCAAGGCCAAUGAAUGCUUGACCUUUUGCCCUGGAACAAUGCAGUAGGGAUGUAGCCUUUUGACAGGAAGAGGGUCAACAGCCGGAAAUUGGCUGGACACCACCUUCUCCUAGUAGAUGCAUUCUGAGGAGGAAGUUCUUGUCCCCAGUCUUCCCUCCUCAUUAGCUCAUUCUUUACAUUCAGUUAGAAUAUCUGAGAGACCUUGAGAAUUAGAAUGCGUAUCUUGCCUCUCCGCAGCUCUACUUUGUAGCUCAGUCAGAGACCAGCACUCCUCCGUAUCAGAUGAAGCAGAGAAGAAAGAGUUGGGGCACAGCAGUACAAGAAUGAUUUAGUUUUGGCAUACCAAUGAAGAAAAAUAUGGUUGAUUAAAUUAGAGCUAUAUAAUAGAAUAAAUUACUAAUGUAGAAAUAGUUUUAAAAGGUAAAUGCAAGAAGCCCAUGGGAAGUGAAAAAAGGCCAUAACAAAAUAAAUAAAAGGAGUAAAUAUAAAAUAAGUUGGAUAAAACAAAAAUCAAACUGAACAAUUGAUUUGGUUCAAUUCCCCCAUGAAAAGAUAGAAUUUCAGAUUGGUUUAAUAAAAUCUAGCCAUAUAUUGACUAUAAGAAAUGAAGGAAGAAAAUAAAGAGAUAUAGAAAGAUACAAAUUAAAUAAUCAGAGGAUGAUAUUAUAUCAGGUGUAGUAGAAUUAAAGAGUAUUCAACCAAAGGAUAUUUAUAGUGAUAAACAUACAGUAAAAAUCAGUAGGACAAUCAGUAAUAUUUAUCAAAUAAGAUUUUGAACAGGAAAAUUACCAGCAUUUAUAUGCAUAUGAUAUUUUGUAUCUACCUCUAUCAGUAUACAUCUUAUUUUAUUAUACUCAUAGAACAAUUAUAAAAAAAAUCACUUGUAAUUGGGCAGAUAAAAGUCUUGGAAAAAUUUUAAAUGAAGAGAGUAAGUGAUACUCUUUCACUAAAAUGUGAAAAAACUAAAAUCAAUAACAAACAAUAUAAACUUAGUUGCUUCAUAACUGAAGUCUUUUAAUAUGAUCCCAAGAAGAAAUGUGAUUUUUAAAUGAAAUGUGCAAUCACCAAAAGAAUAAUGGAAAAGAUAGUCUGUUGGAUUAAAGAACCUAAGAUAAUGUAGCUAAACCUCUGCUUCAAGAAAUGCUUCAACUACAGGUCUUGAGACUCAAUUUGGUAAACUGAGAAAAGAACAGCUGAAGCAACUAACAACCAGGAAUGGGCAGACUCCAACGCAUAGGCCCAAUCUGGCUUGCUGCCCAUUCUGGAGAGUUUUCUUUGACCUAGCCCAUCUCCUGCCUCAUGCAUUACCUAUUGCUUUACACAUAACAGAGGCAGAAUUGAGUAGUUGUGACUGAGACCAUAAAGACCACGAUGUAUAAAUAUUCACUACUGAGUCCUUUAGAAAAGAAAAAAAAAUUGCUAACCCUGAAAUAGACCACAAAUAAAUAGCAAGAUAAUUUGUAGU